CCGCUGCUGGAUAACUGACUUGUUUAUCAGGGUACCAAUUACCAUUCCCAGCUCACAUCUUGUGUGGGCUUGGCAGGCAUCAGCUUCAAGCACCUAGAAGGCACUUCCUUCUCCAGAAUACCUUCAGGGAAAGAAGAACUCUGUCACAACUGGCUGAAGUUGGAAUUAGCUCCACUUCUGUCUGCAUUUCAAAAUAAGUGAAGACUAACUAGUCCAGGGGCCUCAGCGUCACCACAUAGUUUGGACGUCUGACUAGUUUCCUGACUUGAGAGUCUCUUACUUUAAACAUGACGGAUUGGCCCUGGAGAGGAAAGGAAAGACACACGCAAGAGUCUGCCUCUGGCUCGGCUAGCAGUCAUCCUCAGGAUGGCUCCUCCAGACAGGAUUUAAACAGAACUAUUUUGAUACAGACAGUGCUUAUGGUUGCUGUUCUGAGGGAAAGUAAUGGUGAGGCCAUGGAUCUACUUGGAGACUUGAAGUGGAGAAGACCAGUUCUGAGCAAGUUCUUGACUAUGUAGCUUCCAGGAAUUCCCUCUUCACUAGUAGUGAAGCAGUACUUGAGACUCAGAAACGCCUUGUGAGGCUAAUUCACCUCUAGGCUGUAUUUAAGUGGUUCUAUUUAUAUUCUGUUCAUGUGAGACAAACAAAUCUAAACCUCUUUUUCUAAAAGACAAACUUGCCGGAUCAUCAUGAGGACAGAAUCAAAGAAUUCUCAUGAAUCACUUCAUUUAAAAAUAACUACAGUUAUCCUUUGUUAGACUAAAAUUCUAGUCUGCAAUAACUUUAACUUUUUACAGAGUUGCCUCAAAAUUUAACAUUAAUUUUUAUAUACAUAUGCCCUCUAUAAAGCCUUCUUGCUGCUGAAUCUCUUCAAUAUUGUCCUGAGUAUGUCACUCAACAGAUCAAUUUCACCUACCAGCAGAGAUCUUACACUGAUUGCUUCUACCCCUUUAUAAUAUGCUGGACUGGCUUAAAAAUAGUUUCCUGAUCACUAUUGUGAGACUGGCGGCUGUUCUCUUCUGGAGAAGGAAUGGGCCCUUUCUGGUGUAACUCAGCUAAGAGAAGCCAAUGUAUGCAGCCUCCCAGAGUAAGAGGAACACCAGCUAUGAAUGUAGGCAAGAAUUUUUGGACGCACUACAUAGUCAUAAGUAAAAAUUUCAUAUUCAUGAAUAAAAAUUUCAGUAAAUAAUUUUAUGAUACCUGGAGGGAUCCUGAAGGCAAGAAUCGCCUCACUCCCACAAAGCAAGAACAGCCAGGGUAGUGCAGUGGUAGCAGUGAGGGAUCAUGCUUAGUCAUAGGCAACUCCACAACUAGUUAGGGUCAGAACGGGAGGGAUAAUGUUUCUUUUGCUUUCUUUUACAGCUUUAUAAAACAACUAGGGAGCCCAACCUUUUAGGAUGCUAACUAAGACUAGCCCAAAUUACUCUCUCUAAGAAACUUUUGCUUUGAACCACUUUGGGGCACCAACCUAGGUUAUUCUUGCUGGAAGGUAUUUUGUUGUCUAGAACAACACAUGCUUCUUUCUAGGAUGCCAUCAGGAAAGCUCAUUCAUGCCUUUUCCCACUACACUAUUAAGAUUUUUCUUUCCAGGAAAUUAAAAAAAAAAAAAAGAAUAAGCAACCAUUACUAACUGGCAGCCAACAAACUUCUUUUUAUUUUGUUUUAUUUUUGUGUUACCAGGAAUUGAACUCAGUACCUUGUGCUUGCCAGGCAGGCACAGUGCCACUGAACUAAAUCCUCAGCCCUAGAAACUUUUUAAAAUUGAAAAGCUACAUUGUUUAUCUUAAAAUUUCUAUUACUAUAAAAUUCAUGAGAGCACAAGGCCAUGCCUUACAUCUUUAUAUCACUACAAUGCCUAGUGUUAUUUAUGCACAUAAUUAGAGGUGAAUAAUGUGUGCUUUAAAUUUGCCCCUCCUCCAAUUAAGAGGCUUUUUCAUAGAGAAUAUCCGCCACAUAAAUGCAAAUGUGAUAGAAAAACAAUAAGGUUAGUUCUUCUUCCACAGGGUAGUAUGCAAGUCUGCUAUGCAGAUUGGCUUUCCUGUUCAUUUUGUAUUCUAAUUAAGGGAAGGAGAAAUGUAAAUAAUUGAACAACAACUUAUAAUUAAAAAGUUCAUCUGAAUUUGACUUUGAUUCUGGUGACUCCUAUGCCUCAAUAAUGACCAUGAUCAUUUCCAUUUACCUUUAACUGAAACCUCUGUCUGCUUGGUUUGGACCUAACUGGGAAGAGGACCCAUGACAAUGUUUUAGACUAAAUGGCAGAAUUCAGCAAGAAUAACCUUCUAGACAAAGGGCAGAGGUCCCAGAAGGUGCUAGACCUGAGAAUCAGGAACUACAGUCAAGGCUAUCUAUACCACUAUAUCACUUUUUAAUCCUCGGGAAAUGCUUUUUUCAUCUUCUUACCUAGAGCUUUUUCUUGAUAACUUAGAUGAAUGGCCUUAAUGUAUGAAUUUCCUGCUAGCACUGUAAUUGAAACUCAGAUAUAAAUAAAAUUAGGUGAACUUUGUAUUGUGGUGGUAUUAUGCCAAAUGUGGAAAGAGCUUAAGUAUGAAUAAUAAUAAUAGCUGAAAAUGGAUGAAGUAGUCAAAUUUAGAGAAUUAAAAUCUCAAAGCAAUCCAGGAGCAAAAGCGGUAAAAAAUAAACAUUUACAUGCUUUUAAUUCAAGAUUUUACCAUUGUUUCUUCCUACAGUUUAUUUAAACAUCUAUUUCAAAGUUACAAUAAUUUUGAGGAAAGUUCCCAGUUCACUUGAAUCUAUGCAAAUCUGAUCCUAGCCAUUUGAACUUGACAGGAUUCGGUGAUUUUUGAAAUUCAUAUUUCAGUUAUUCAAGUAAAUGAAUAGUGUCAUUUGGUUAUUUGAUGUGAUUUUUUAAAAAAGAUUGGUCUUUUGAGAAACUGCUUCUGGGUAUCAAUACUAAAAUGAAAACACUGGCUAAAAUCAUAAAAGCAGGAAAAUUAAUUUCAGGGCAUUUUAAGCCUCUCCCACUUCCUGGGCUCACAAGGCUUCAGAAGAUGAGAAUUGUUCUCUGAUGUCACUGUUCUCUGAAAGCUGAUCCAUUUAAAUCCAUAUGGUGGACAUCUUUGACUAACACACUGCUUACAUUUUUCAAUGUUUCAGAAAAUGGAAUUUUUCCCCUUUAAUCCUCAAAAACAAACUCAAAUAAAUUGUUUGACCCACCUGCAGUUUCCUUGGAGGAACAUAACUUUUUGAUUCAAUCCAUAAUUUCCUCAUAUUCUACAACCUACGUAUUAUCCCAUUUUACUUUUAAAUCCAAAUGAUUGUUACUGUCUUUGAUUCUCAGCUGGGACAAUAGAGGACAUUUUGUUUUUGUUGUUCUUAUUGCUAUAUAUCAUAAAAAUACAGGAAAGAAACUUAUUUCUUCAAUUCUCUGCUGUAAUCUACAACUUUGUUAAUUCAAUAAUGAGUCAAUAUGGUGCCAUAGAUAUUGAAAAUCCAGAAACUUUUAGAUUUUAUAAGCCUCCACCAAGGAGAAAAAUCUCUACCUGCUGAACAAUGAAAACCAUGGCAAGGAAACAGUAUGAGUUUUACUGGUCUCAGACAGAGGUGUCUGGAGGCAUGGCAGGCUAAAAGGAGAGAUUUGUGAUAGAAUUGCUGUUGGCUGAAGAAGCCCUGACACAGUGUCCAAGCAAAGGGUAGUCAACAGGCAGUUUGUGAACCAGACUUCUUUUGAUCUCUGUCUCUUCCCCAUACAGUUACAAUCUGGUAUUUCCAUGAUAGCAUUGCUUCCUUCAAUUCAACUUCCAGCUCAGCUUCCAUCCUAUGCCAACACCUUUUACUCUUUGCAAGUAUCUUUCUUACCCAUACACGUCAUGUACAAAGGACACAAACCAUUACAGUAUUUUUAGACUGAAAACAAGAUCCAGUUGUAUGAAUAUAUAAUGUUACCAUGUGUUAAUGAAUUCUUGGUUCAUGCUCUGUUCAUCCAUGAAGAUGGAAUAUUUGCACUCAAGCUAUUUGCUACACAUCAUGUGAGACCUGAUCAUGCCUCAUACAAUCUGUGAAGCCUCUGACAUACAUGGCCCUUUACUAUAGUCAGGCUACCAACUCAACGUCAAGGAGCUGAAACUGUUCCUAAAAAUAGCUUUUUCUCAUUUCCAUUCUCAAGUAGGUGAUCAAAACAAGAGAGGUGGUAGCACGCAUACUGACCGAAUAAGUGUCAAAAAAGGAUGGGCAGAGCUGGAAACUGCCUCAUGUGCUGACAUAAUUAUUCCCAUAAAACCCUCUUACAUCCAGAUUUUUAUUUUUAACAAAUUAUGGAAUACCUACAUAUAACAACUCAAAAAGAUCACAUUUAUGUCAAUAAAACAUGACUAUACCUUCAAAUACUUCCUUUUAGCAUCACUCACUGUUCAAAUCUAUGGGCCCCCAGUAAAUUCUGAGUAAAGAGUUUUGGACUGAGUAUGUGCACAUCCAUAAAGGUUACAUUGGUUUUUAUAUAUACUUACUCUCUGUCUGACUCUGCCACUGUCGCUUAAGAAACAUUAUGUUGAAAUGAAAUGAUGUUUUAUGGGGUGAGUCCUCUUAUGAAAGGGUAGCCUUGUUUUGAUGUAAGUAGACUCAGCAUAACCUGAACAUUGGUUAGCAAAGUUUGUGUUGAAUAUUGUUCACAUUCAAUGUUGGGAAGAAUAUUUCCUCAUAGAACAUGAUUUAUUUUGAUCUCUAGUCAUUUUAUUCCCAGGUCCUGUUCUGUUUUAUGUGUUAAAAAUUCCCAGCUUAAAUAGUAAAUCUAACAAUUACUGAUUGUGUCAUAUAAAUAGAGAUGUUUAAGGUUAUAGAGUUCCUUAAUGUUUUAAUAAUACUGAAAUACUUUGGAUGAGUUUGCUUUGCUUCUCAAAAAAGUGUAAUAAGGCCAACUCUACAUUUAAAAGAGGAAAUGAUUCAAGUUUUAGUGCCAGAUGCCCUCCAAUGAGAAUUUAAGAACAAGGCUCUCUUCUGUGACUUAGAUAAUGAUGAGAAUCCUUCAGUAAAUUUCCAAGACUACUUCUCCUAGAGACUCAAUUAGGUAAACCCCAUAUUAAAUGCCAAAGGUGUGCAAGGUAGGAUGUGAAUUCCUUAAAAGUCAUACUGGAUAAAAAUCUUUAAAAUGUCUCUCUACCCUGAAAGAGCUUACAGCAAAGUUGAGGACAAAAAUUGAAUCAUGAUUUCUACAGUUUGGAUGUGGUUUGUCCUCCAAGGGCUCAUGUUCAGGAAUUUGGCCCCCAGUGUAAUGGUAUGAGAGGUGGUGAAACCUGUAAGAAGUGAUGCCUUCUAAAUGAUGACUAGGUCACUGGAAUGUCCCCUCAGAGGGGAUUAAUGUAGUUAUCCUGGAGGGACCCCAGGACCUCAAUUAAUUUCCACAAAAGUAGGUUGUUAUAAAAAGAGCAAGACUAGCUAUUGACCCUAGUCUCUGCCUUCCUGUCUAGCUAUGUGAUCUCCUGCUCACCAGAGCCACAGAAGCAAGUACAAUGCUUUGAGAGAUCCAGAACAAAUUUACCCAGCCUCAGGUAUCUUGUUAUAGCAAUGGAAAAUUUACUCGUACAAGCUUUUAAUCAAGCUAAAUAAAAAUAUACUAUUUCAAUAACAGAUCUAAAUAAAGAAGUAGUGGCUCUCACAGGCUGUCCAUGGUUAAUUGCCAAGGGAGUUUUAUAUGCAGGAAGUGCUUAGACCUUGGAGGGUAAGUUUCAGAAGGCAUUUUUUAAGACUGGCAGAAUGUAGAGACACAAAACAAACCCACCCAGAUCCCUAUAGAUUUUGAGGUCAGGCAGGUAUGAGUUCAGCCCCACCUCAGAUGAUCUGGGGCAAGUCCCUUUUCAGCUACUCAGAAUAAAAUAGAAAUAAUAAACUUAGCCCUUUGAGUUUUUCUGACCGGUAGAUAAAAGCUAUCUAACGCUAUUCUUAGUAGAGAGUCACAGAUAAAUUAGCAUUUAUUAUAUAUCAUAUUAGUUACUGAUUUGCCUUUAACUUUAUUGUCUGUUUAUUCUAGUCAAAAAGUAAACUUCUGGAGGGUAGAGAUCUAGUAUUAAUUUCCCACUGUAUCUAUAGUAUCUAUAUUAUUAUCUGGCACACAAUAAAUACCAAGUGCAUAUAUUUGCAAUGAAAAAAAUCAAUGAAUAAUUAAUUUAAUGUCAAAAGGUACCGUAGUCAUAUUAUUGGCCAACAGUGUAUUUUUCUUAUUUCUUCCUAUCUCUCUCCAUUUUCUUCAACCUUGUAAAAAAACAAAAGAUAUUGUAACCAAUAGGCUAAGUUCCAAAUAAAUGAGAUCAUUUGAAGCUUUAAAGUUGUCCUUAUGAGUUAUGGCCACUAGAACUUGAACUAUUUGCCUUGAGCAGAGUAGAAAAUGUAAUGGGGAAAAAGCUUGUCUUCCCAUUUAUUUCUCUCCUGUCCUCUCAUUCCUGUUAGCCUCUGGUCAUGCCUGGGCCCUUUGUGUUCUUCUCACCCAUCGGUAUCUAAAAACAAACUUAAUUAAUUAAUUAAAACAACAACAACAACAACUUUAGACAAAUUGUGGGGAGGAAAAAAUGUUUUUCCAGACAGACCUUCUAACUCCUAUGGACAGCAGGUUAGAAUGAUGCCUUCCCCUUUCUCUAGCCCACCUCAAUUCCCUAUUUCUCAGGCCAGGAACAGUGAGUUAGCCAACAACACAUGCCAAGUGAAGCAUAGGGAUUAGUAGGUACUGUGUUUUCCAUGACACCAGGUCAAGUGACAAAGGCUUUCUGCUGUGAAGUCAUUUGUCAUUAUGCAAAAGCCCCUAUCAUUUCCAUCAGGGACAGGCUUAUUUUGAUCUAAUUUUCUGUUCCAUGACAAUUUUGUCAUCUAAACUAAACUUGGUUUGUUUUAAGAAUGUGGACCUGAGUUUACGUCACUAACCCUGGGAGGGAAGGCUCAACAACUAACAUUUUAUCAUCUCCUGUUGGUAUGUGAUCAGCUAAAAAAUCUCAUAAAGUCUUAUUUGCAGGAAGUGGUCUCUUUUAUAGCUUCCCAUUUGGUAGUAUGUUUGUUACUAAUGAAGAGGGGCGGUAAAGAAAGUCACAAAAUGUCAACUCUGAAGUAUCCUCCCAGAUUGCAGAUUGUUGACAGUUCGUUGUAUUCUUCACAUGUGACACAAAGCUCUGAUCCAUGGUCACUUUUCACCCCUCAGAUUAAACCUUGUCCCUAGACCUGCAAAGUCCAUUAUUGCCAAAGAAAAGCCAGAAUUACUGAAUGUUUUCCUUUCUUUUGACUUAUAAUGUACGUCAUCAACCACGUAAAAGAAAAGAGCAAUGUGCAAAGUAUUGUCUGGGGUUUCUCACUCCUUCUAAGAUAUUUUCAUAGUGAGUUGUCAGUUUAAAAAUUGUUUCAUCAGAGGAUUUUGAUGUUCUUAUGUGAGAUGUUCCAGAGCUUCAAAUAAAUAAAAUCCAAAUAUCUCAAGAACAUCUUGUGGGAAGGUUGGUUAGAAAACUUAGUUGUUUUUGUUUUAAAUGUGAAAA
ensembl:lncRNA